AUGAAGCGCUUGCAUCCUGCAUGCCGCUUGUUGAGUUGUAGCUUGCAAGUCACACGCAUGCCUGCAAUGAAGCAUGCAUCCUUCCUUCAGCGCUUCCUCCUCCUCCUGUUCGGUCUUAUCAUCACAACCUUGGCCUCCAGCGAUGAUCAAUUUCUCUUCUCCGGCUUCAACCAAUCCAGCCUAACCCUCGAUGGUUGUGCCGUGGUCACAGACGCCGGCCUCCUUGAUCUGUCCAAUGGCACAACUGCUCUCAAUGGUCAUGCCUUCUACCCUACUCCUCUGCAAUUCCGCAAGUCGCCCGGUGGUAAAGUUCAAUCCUUCUCAGUCAAUGUAGUUUUCAGCAUCUUCAUCGCAUACCAAGACUUGAGAGCUGGAGGCAUGGCCUUCUUCAUCGCCCCCGCAACGAAUUUCUCUGAUGCACAAGGAGCCAAGUACUUUGGCCUACUCAACGAGAAGAACAAUGGCAACACAAGAAAUCACAUCUUCAUGGUCGAACUCGACACCUUCAAACAUGUUGAGCUCCAAGACAUCGACGACAACCACAUCGGUAUCGACAUCAACAGUGUAAUCUCCUUGGAAUCCAACACGUCCGGCUUCUAUGAAGACGAGGGUGGUGCCUUCAAGAGCAUGAUGCUGAAUGGCAACGAGGCUAUGCAACUGUGGGUGGAUUACAACGAGAGUGAUACGCAGAUCAAAGUGACCUUGGCUCCAAUCAACCUGCCCAAACCAUCAAGGCCACUGCUCUCUGCAACAUAUGAUCUCUCAACUGUACUCUCCGGCUCGGCUUCAUACAUUGGAUUCUCAUCCGUAUCUACUCUCAUCAACACCCGUCAGUAUGUGAUGGGCUGGAGCUUUGGCAUGAAUCAACCAGCUCCAUCCAUUGACAUCUCCAAGCUUCCCAAGUUGCCUUUUGUUGGUCCCAAGGCCCAGUCCAAGCUCUUGAUGAUCGUCCUACCAAUAGCCACUGCAACACUGAUCCUCUCUAUGGGCACUCUUGUCACUCUAGUUGUGCGAAGGCGACUGAAGUAUGCUGAGGUGCGUGAGGAUUGGGAGGGAGAGUUUGGUCCGCAUCGGUUCUCGUACAAGGAUUUGUUCCAUGCUACGGGAGGGUUCAAGAACAAACACCUACUUGGAGAAGGGGGUUUUGGGAAAGUAUAUAAAGGAGUUCUUCCAUUGUCUAGUGUGGAGAUUGCUGUGAAGAGGAUGUCUCAUGAGUCAAGGCAGGGGAUGAAGGAAUUUGUCACCGAGGUUGUUAGCAUCGGUCGACUCCGUCAUCGAAAUGUUGUGCAGCUACUUGGCUAUUGCCGGAGAAAAAGUGAACUGUUUUUGGUUUAUAAUUACAUGCCAAAUGGUAGCCUUGAUAAAUACCUACAUUGUGAAGACCACAGGGGCAUUUUGAAUUGGGGUCAGAGGUUUCGAAUCAUCAAAGGCAUUGCUACCGGCUUGCUCUAUCUCCAUGAGAAGUGGGAGAAGAUAAUAAUCCAUAGAGACAUCAAGGCAAGCAAUGUACUCCUGGAUGGUGAAAUGAAUGGGCGGCUUGGUGACUUUGGCCUUGCAAGGUUAUAUGAUCAUGGCACUGACGCACAAACCACACAUAUGGUUGGUACAAAGGGGUACCUAGCCCCGGAGCUACUGCGGACAGGUAAGGCAUCCCCUCUUACAGAUGUUUUUGCCUUUGGCAUGUUCCUUCUUGAGGUCGCAUGCGGUCAAAAACCUGUCAAGAUAAAUGCAGAGGGAAAUGAAGUUUUCUUGGUAGAUUGGGUACUCGAGCAUUGGAACAACGAAGCGCUUAUCAAGACAGUGGAUACUAGGCUGCAAUGCGACUUCAGCAUUGAUGAAGCAUGCCUCGUGUUAAAGCUGGGACUUUUGUGCUUGCACCCAUUUCCUAGUUCAAGGCCCAGGAUGCGGGAAGUUAAGCAAUACCUCGACGGUGACAUGCCACUGCCCGAGCUGAGGAAGACGGAGCUGAGCGUGAACAUGGCGGCCCUGGUGAAAAGCAAUGGACCGAACUUGGUCAUCAUGUCAUACCCGCAAAUCACAUCGAGCUUCUGCAUGAUAUCUGGCCUCUCAGGAGGAAGAUGA
rnacentral:rRNA from 1 species